GGGACAAGGACCUCCAUGAAGGACUUGAUAACAAUAUCUGAAUCUCCUUCAAGAAUGAUAUUGUUGAAGCCAUUUGAUUUAGCUAACAGAAUGGCUUCUCUACAUGCUAAUGCUUCCAACGCCAAAGGAGAAUAGAUUCCUCAAACAAUUUUGGCUUUCCAACCAAGAAUUUUGCCAAUGUGAUUUAGACAUAAUGCUGCUAUUGAGUCUUGCCUUGCCUUUGCAUCUACGCCUGCAUCAAAAUUAAUUUU
rnacentral:misc_RNA from 1 species